ACAUCCAGAGAAUUUAGCAGAGAUGCUUUAGUGCCUUCGGGAACUCUGAGACAGGUGCUGCAUGGCUGCCGUCAGCUCGUGUUGUGAAAUGGUUGGGUUAAGUCCCGNAACGAGCGCAACCCUUAUCCUUUGUUGCCAGCACGUAAUGGUGGGAACUCAAAGGAGACUGCCGGUGAUAAACCGGAGGAAGGUGGGGAUGACGUCAAGUCAUCAUGGCCCUUACGAGUAGGGCUACACACGUGCUACAAUGGCGCAUACAAAGAGAAGCGACCUCGCGAGAGCAAGCGGACCUCAUAAAGUGCGUCGUAGUCCGGAUUGGAGUCUGCAACUCGACUCCAUGAAGUCGGAAUCGCUAGUAAUCGUAAAUCAGAAUGUUACGGUGAAUACGUUCCCGGGCCUUGUACACACCGCCCGUCACACCAUGGGAGUGGGUUGCAAAAGAAGUAGAUAGCUUAACCUUCGGGAGGGCGUUUACCACUUUGUGAUUCAUGACUGGGGUGAAGUCGUAACAAGGUAAGCGUAGUGCU
rnacentral:rRNA from 1 species